CAGUCGCCGCGGGAAUACGGAGGGGGCUAGCGUUGUUCGGAAUUACUGGGCGUAAAGCGCACGCAGGCGGCUUGGUAAGUUAGAGGUGAAAGCCCGGAGCUCAACUCCAGAAUUGCCUUUAAGACUGCCGAGCUAGUAGGUGAGAGAGGUAAGUGGAAUUCCGAGUGUAGAGGUGAAAUUCGUAGAUAUUCGGAAGAACACCAGUGGCGAAGGCGGCUUACUGGCUCAUACUGGACGCUGAGGUGCGAAAGCGUGGGGAGCAAACAGGAUUAGAUACCCCUGUAGUCCCUGUCUCUUAUAC
rnacentral:rRNA from 1 species